rnacentral:rRNA from 1 species
GAUUAACGCUGGCGGCGUGCAUAACACAUUCAAGUCGAACGGUGACGACCUUCGGGUCUGAUCAGUGGCGGACGGGUGAGUAACGCGUGAGCAAUCUACCUCUUGGUGAGGAAUAACAACCGGAAACAGUUGCUAAUACCUCAUGAAACGGCAAUCUCGCAUGGGAUAACCGUCAAAGAUUUAUUGCCAAGAGAUGAGCUUGCGUCUGAUUAGCUAGUUGGUGAGGUAACGGCUCACCAAGGCGACGAUCGGUAGCCGGACUGAGAGGUUGAACGGCCACAUUGGAACUGAGAUACGGUCCAGACUCCUACGGGAGGCAGCAGUGGGGGAUAUUGCGCAAUGGGGGGCAACCCUGACGCAGCAACGCCGCGUGAAGGAAGACGGUUUUCGGAUUGUAAACUUCUUUAAGUGUGGAAGAAGAUGACGGUACACACAGAAUAAGCCACGGCUAACUACGUG